GCCGGUCCUCGGUAGUGGCUCCCGGGCGGACCUCGCAGGAGGUUCCCGAGGGCUUCGAUCGAUGGCCGGC
ncrna:Saccharopolyspora erythraea NRRL 2338 Actino-pnp RNA